AGAUUGUUUUCUAUACUAACAUUGCACGUCCGUAUAAAGAUUGAUCAAUAUUAGAAGUUUAGUAAAGAAUGAAAGUUCCUAAAGCAUUUCAACCUCCAAAUAUGAGAAAACACAAGAAGUAACAAAUGUAAACAAAAUGACAAAACAAACAAUGCACGCAGGAUUAGAAAUCAAUACUGUGCAAUAGGUAACUUAACGGAAACAAUACAAACAUAAUAAUGCAAUCAGAAGAAACAAACAAACAUAUUUCAUAUAAAUUAACCGAAGAAACAAAAUGGAUAGUCAACAGUAUAUGAUCAGAGAAAAACAAGAAUGAGAACGAAGUAAAUGAACCUUACACUGAAUCUUCACGUGGAAAAACGAAAUUAAUCACCGGACCAAGAACGGAAACCUCGACGGAACUACGAUCCAAACCUCGACACUCGUCGGAACUAAUGACAUUACUACUAUAACGAUGGAGAUACUAGAACUACGGCCACACGACACACGCGAAGGAUGCCGAGAAUUGAUUCUGGACAAACUCAGCACAAAAAAAGUUACAAAAUCCACAACCUGUUAGAUCUACACCCAUCCAACAUUGAAGUAUAACAUGUGGGAACAAUGGUGAUGAGACAGUGGACUGUUUUCUACUCGUUCAUCGUCGACGAUGCGACUCCAACGAUACAAAAUAGUAGAGGGUGGAGGAAGGGAAAGAAACAGCGGCGAUGAGGGAUAACAACAACUGCUCGUCGAUGACUGCUGUGUGCGUCUGUGGUCAUCGGAGUUGUGGUGGUGACAAAUGGAGGUGGAGAUGGGAUCAUUUUUUCGUUGUGGAGAUGGGUGACUGUCUGAUUUUGUGAGGUCGGGGCGGCGGUUGUUGGCUGCGUGGAGUCCUCUAGGGUUCAGCUAGGGUGUUGCAUGGUUGAAGAUGAGGUCUGAUGGGUGGGACAAGAGUUGAAGAAGCUUUGCGACUGGUUUCCGGCAAGGGUCGUUUGGGUUGAAGUUGCAGAGAACGCUGGAGAUGGUCCUUUUUAUGUCUUCUGCGCAGCUGCGCUAAAUUUUUUCCAGGCGUCCCCUUGUUCUGUAUUGUGGGUAUUAGCG
rnacentral:lncRNA from 1 species